GGCCAUAUCAUGUUGAAACACUGGUUCCUGUAAAGAACACCAAAGUUAAGUAAUAUCAAGCCUGAUCAGUACAUAGAUGGGUGACCACCUGGGAAUACCAGGUGCUAUA